CAGACAGCGCAUUUUUCCAUCCGGUAAGGCCCGAGUACUUUUGUAGAGGAGAGACUGAACGUAAAAUUUAAAAAAAAAAAAAAAGCUUGUCUUGGGUCGUUGAAUGAAGAUCAAAUCUUGUGGGGACUAGUAAGACGCAAGUAAGAGCAUCAAUGAAUCACGAUUUUGCUUCCCUCCUUUAACUCAAAUUGACAGGAAGCACAAAACAAAAGCUGGCAGCUCCUGGAGGGGGGGCUCGGAAAAUGAUCUCAUUCCUAUGAACGCAGAGAAAAGUCAAGAAAAUGAUGCAGAAACGCAGCAUGAAAACAAGAAGCGAAACAGGACAUCACUGGAAUCGCCACCCUUCUUGAGUACGGAAGACAAUUACACCUCUGCUGUGAAAAGGACAUUGCUGGAAUCACCACCCUUCUUGAGCAGCAGUAACGGGUCACAAUCGUAACAAUGUUAGUUCCUGUACUGUCUAUUCCACCUUGUUUAAAACAGUAUUUCAACUUCUCAGCCUUCUGACCAAGGAUAAAGUUCUGGACAGAGUGCAGAGAUUAGAUUGCCAGAGUGCCAUCGACUGCGUGACUGAGUGUGAUUUGGUCGCUGCUGUUAUGGGGGAACCUCUGCCUCCCAGCACACUUUUUUUUUUUUUUGGUCUGGGUAGCACAUGGAGCCCAAGUGCAGCUUUGUCUAGUGAUUUUUCCUAAUUGCUCAGUGUAAGGUCCCUCAAGACAACAGGUUCAAGGAUCCCGACUGAAGAACACCAUCCACUUUCACUGGUGGAACGGGGAUGAUGGUGGUGGGUUUCCUGAGCAGGUUCCCUAACCCUUCGUCCUUGGACUCAUGAGACUUCCAGGUAAGGAAACGGUCUGCAUCACUAUUGACUGAGGAGCUGUAGCAGAGGGUUCGGGAGCCACUCUCCUACUUUACUGAUCCAAAGUGGAGGGAUGACUAACUGUCACUGAGCACAUCUUCAACCCCUUGUCUCCAGCUAUUGAGAGCCUUCUUAGGGAAGUUUGUGUUUAAAGGACGUGAGGACCGGACGGAUGCGGUCGCCAUCUGGAAUGGGCUUGGCUGUUUUCAUGUGCGUCUUCAUGGAUUUUGCACCACACCGGGACUUGGGCGAGGCUGGAGGCUACCAGUUUGAGGGACAGUCUCCCUCCCACCACCUGAGUUUUAGCUGAGGACAUACUGGCAAGGACUAAGGGCAUGAAGUGCCAAAGGUGGCAGGGAAAUAUUUUAAUCUAUUACAUAGUGAUGGUUUGUUUUGGAUGUGCAUUUGGUGUUAACAUCUGGCUAUGCUUUCUAUAAUUUUGAGUCCCUCGUGGAUAAUGUCUCAUGUUAACCAAAAUGUGACUUUUUGUGUAGAACUUUGCAUUUUUUUGAUACUUAAUACUUUUUCCAACUUCAUUAA
rnacentral:lncRNA from 1 species